ACCAGACUCCUACGGGAGGCAGCAGUGGGGGAUAUUGCACAAUGGGGGAAACCCUGAUGCAGCGACGCCGCGUGGGUGAAGAAGUAUUUCGGUAUGUAAAGCCCUAUCAGCAGGGAAGAAAGAAGACGGUACCUGACUAAGAAGCCCCGGCUAACUACGUGCCAGCAGCCGCGGUAAUACGUAGGGGGCGAGCGUUAUCCGGAUUCACUGGGUGUAAAGGGAGCGUAGACGGCCAAGCAAGCCAGGGGUGAAAGCCCGGGGCCCAACCCCGGGACUGCCCUUGGAACUGCAUGGCUGGAGUGCGGGAGGGGCAGGCGGAAUUCCUGGUGUAGCGGUGAAAUGCGUAGAUAUCAGGAGGAACACCGGUGGCGAAGGCGGCCUGCUGGACUGCAACUGACGUUGAGGCCCGAAAGCGUGGGGAGCAAACAGGAUUGAUACCCUAGUAC
rnacentral:rRNA from 1 species